rnacentral:rRNA from 1 species
AUUGAACGCUGGCGGCAUGCCUUACACAUGCAAGUCGAACGGCAGCACGGGAGCAAUCCUGGUGGCGAGUGGCGAACGGGUGAGUAAAGUAUCGGAACGUGCCCAGUCGUGGGGGAUAACGUAGCGAAAGUUACGCUAAUACCGCAUACGAUCUAUGGAUGAAAGCGGGGGAUCGCAAGACCUCGCGCGAUUGGAGCGGCCGAUAUCAGAUUAGGUAGUUGGUGGGGUAAAGGCUGACCAAGCCGACGAUCUGUAGCUGGUCUGAGAGGACGACCAGCCACACUGGGACGGGGACACGGCCCAGACUCCUACGGGAGGCAGCAGGGGGGAAUUUGGGACAAUGAGCGAAAGCCUGAUCCAGCCAUGCCGCGUGCAGGAUGAAGGCCGUCGGGUUGUAAACUGCUUUUGUACGGAACGAAAAGGUUUGGCCUAAUAAGCUGAGCUCAUGACGGUACCGUAAGAAUAAGCACCGGCUAACUACGUGCCAGCCGCCGCCGUAA